rnacentral:lncRNA from 1 species
UUCUACACUGCUUGAUGAGUUUGUAGAAUAGGCCUAGGAUCUAUCUCCAUUCAUCCUUACUGUAACGACUGUUAAAUUGUUAAGUAAGUGCUGCCAUUUUUGACCGUAACAAUAUACCGAUACUGGAGUUCCGGCAGGAUUGAUCUUUGCUGAGAAAUUGAUGGUAUGUUAAUGGUAUAACUGUCCUUGUAUAUAAAUUAACUUUCCAAAAUUCCUGUUUCUAGAGCCCUAAAGGGAAUGAGAGGUCACCAGGUCUGAUGAGCCAUAGAUCUUGGUGCUCCAGAAGUCCUAUCGUUCUACUGCUUCUCAAGUUUGCUAUCGUAACUCUUUUCCUACUUUCCGUAGCUUCUCGCUGAGGUCCUAGGCCCUGGGAGGAGAAAUCAUUUCAAUGCAUCCUCGUUCCACAGCACUUCUCCCCAGGCCAAGGCUGGGUUGUGCUUCCUGAUGAGUCUGGAAGAGCAUGCCCAUUGCAGCGCUUUGACGGGGCCCAGUCCAAGACCUGCAGGACAGCAAACAUCAUUCUUGCUGCAGUUUGAUGCAUUCGUGCCCCUUCUUCACUCUGUGUACUCUCCUGAUUGGUUUUUCCUUUCAAAUCCCAAGGCACAUUUUUUUCCUAUAGCUUUCCUCCUGGAGAUGACCUUCCUUCCUUUCUCUGUUUCAAAAAACAAAAAGUAAUAACAGCUCUAUCUGGCUAUCCAGAACUUGGGAGGAGUUCAGCUGCGUUAGAAGAUAUGAAUGGAGGAUAGUCUGGAUCCUCAGGAUACCAAAAGAAGAAACUGCUACAUCCUAGCAGCAGUACCAUCAUAUGCUUUGAAGACAGGAAAAAGAAGUAGUACCACUCAGGGAUUUCCUACACUCUGCCACUUGGGAAACAGAGUACUUCUGGGACUGCUUCUUCAAGCACAACAGUAUCUUCCAGCCUGUUACAGUAUGUUUGGAUCCGUGGGAGAACAGAUCACCUCUCUGCGUUGUUAAAAAGGGGCCAUUGGCCACAGGAAUGGGCCAAGUCAUCAGCCAGAGUAAAGAAGCGUGAACGACAAUUCUGACAAAAUGAAAAUGCAGCAUCCAACAUCUGCACAGGCUACCUGAGGAGAGAGCAGAAACCUUUUCGUAACGACACUGAGAAUCAGCAGAAAUAUUUUCUCAGGCUUCUCCGGAAGUACUUUAUGAUUGUGAAGUAUCAACAUAUUCUUUCGAUAGAAGUCGCUCAACUGUUCCAAUGCUCAUUUAUAGGGUUUUUUUUUCAAUUAUUUGUUCACUAAGAGCAUAGAAAUCAGUUUUUUCUUUGCAGUGCCAUGGCAGUUCCUGUUUGUUUCUGCUGAUAUUUUAUGUUUAAAAAAACGUGCAAAUCCCUAAUUAAAAAAAAAGUCAAAAUGCAUGAUUAAUUACAGAUCAAGAGUAUUUUGAAAGCAGGAAAGAAAAUAAACAGCUCUAGUAAAGUGAACA